rnacentral:rRNA from 1 species
UACGUAGGUCGCAAGCGUUGUCCGGAAUUAUUGGGCGUAAAGAGCUUGUAGGCGGUCUGUCGCGUCUGCUGUGAAAAUCCGGGGCUCAACCCCGGACUUGCAGUGGGUACGGGCAGACUAGAGUGUGGUAGGGGAGACUGGAAUUCCUGGUGUAGCGGUGAAAUGCGCAGAUAUCAGGAGGAACACCGAUGGCGAAGGCAGGUCUCUGGGCCGAUACUGACGCUGAGGAGCGAAAGCGUGGGGAGCGAACAGG